UACGUAGGUGACCAGCGUUGUCCGGAUUUACUGGGCGUAAAGAGCGCGCAGGCGGUCGUUCAAGUCGAGUGUGAAAGCCCCCGGCUCAACUGGGGAGGGUCAUUCGAUACUGAUCGACUUGAAGGCAGGAGAGGGAAGCGGAAUUCCCGGUGUAGUGGUGAAAUGCGUAGAUAUCGGGAGGAACACCAGUGGCGAAGGCGGCUUCCUGGCCUGUUCUUGACGCUGAGGCGCGAAAGCUAGGGUAGCAAACGGG
rnacentral:rRNA from 1 species